ACGGAUUUCGCUGCCGUCGACCGCCCGGACACUACACACCCCGUUCCAUUCCUUCGUCACCCUCGAAGUCACCAGGGUGGUCGUACAGCCCGUAUCCACAAGGGCCUUGAACGUCUCCCCCUCGGCCUCCACGUCAAUCAAUGGCAGCGUCUCCAAUAGCGCCUCUACUCGUUUGAGGGGAAAGUUCAAGAGGCAGCAACUUCCCCGCGGUCGUUUCCCUGGCCGCAAUCACGGGCAAUAUGCCCUGUCUGCCUGCAUCGAUAGCAAACGGGCCCCGGCUGCGUACAGUCCCGCGCCAUGUGCGGUCCCUGGCAUCUAAAACACCGUCCUGAGAACGGCCGCUCUCGUUGCACAGUGGGCUUCUGUACCUCUUUCUCGGGACGUCGGCCGUCUUUACACGCCUCCGUCACCGCCAUCGCUAUCGCCUUCCGCUCAGAGUGUCUCGUCAACCCGCGAGCAUGAGUUACAAGUUCGCUCAAUGGCAUCUUUUUGACCCCGGGCAGUCGUUGUAGGUGAAUCCCUACAUCAUCGGGGAACCCAUUCACGAACGCCAUUCGGGCUGCUCUCUUCAGUCCUUCUCCGGCAAACCCGGCCAGAGUCGCUAGCCUUCUAGCUUCCGAUGCAAAAUCAUCCACCUGGCCUCCUGUCCACCUGAUUGCACCUAGCUUAGUGAAAGCUGUGUACUCGCAUUCAGUGUAUGCGUCACACAAGCGCCGCUCUAUAUUCUCAUCGCAGAGCCGUUCUUCUUCAUCCAUCUCUAGGUAAAGCGACAACGCACUCCCUUCCAAAUACAGCGCCAUAAGACUCGCCACGUCGCUUAUGCCCUGCAGUCUCGCCACUAGCCUGAUUUUCUGAAUCCAGGCCACUACAUCGCCUUCGCCGUUAAAAGGUCUGACGACGUCACUGGCGAUCCUAAUUUUUGCAGACAUCGUAUUGAAAAAAAAUGUGAAUGUUUACGAACUGCCGAAAUAGCUUGUAGUGAGUGUAUGCGAUUUGAAUAUAGAGGCACCUACCUUCUCUUCGUGGUGACGGAGAUCCUCCAGAGAUGGCUGGUCCUUCCUCACAGCCCUACCCGAACACUAACAAUAGCAGCUGCUAGCCCCAAACCCUUUUGCGACUUCCUCGCCCGUCUUGUCGCCAGCACGACCCACGUUGGAAAGGUCAACUUACGCCCCCUGCGCACGCUUGACGGCUGACCCCUUCCGCUUGCCCCAGCUUCCGGUCAACGCACCCCGCAGCUGACGUCAUCCCACAGUUAAUAUUUUGGGAAAGUAUCCUCUUACAGGUAUAACAGUGUUACGAUGUUUCACCUGUUCUUACAGGUAUAACAGUGUUACGAUGUUUCACCUGUUCUAUUCUUCAUACCCUCAGGAGAAUCCUGUUCAAUUAUGCUUUAAAUUUAACCUCAUUCUCCUACAAUUUAUUUUCCGUAUUUGACCUUCUAAUCCACAAUAUUCAACUUUGUUCAUAGUUUGUGUUUAAUGAAGUUACUAUUUUGGGAAAGUAUCUUCUUACAGGUAUAACAGUGUUACGAUGUUUCACCUGUUCUAUUCUUCAUACCCUCAGGAGAAUCCUGUUCAAUUAUGCUUUAAAUUUAACCUCAUUCUCCUACAAUUUAUUUUCCGUAUUGACCUUCUAAUCCACAAUAUUCAACUUUGUUCAUAGUUUAUGUUUAAUGAAGUUACUAUUUUGGGAAAGUAUCUUCUUACAGGUAUAACAGUGUUAUGAUGUUUCACCUGUUCUUAUCUUCAUACCCUCAGGAGAAUCCUGUUAAAUUAUGCUUUAAAUUUAACCUCAUUCUCCUACAAUUUAUUUUCCAAAAUUAUCCUUCUAAGCCACAAUAUUGAACUUUGUUCAUAGUGGUUUCUUAACAAAUAUUUUUAUUUCCACCAACUGUGAUCUUUAUCAAUAUGUACAGCUUUUACAAACUCCUCUGUAAUUUGUAAUCCAUGUUCAGUUAACAUGCAAAGUCAUCUUGCAGAAAUUCUGGAUAGUAUUCGUAUUCAUUGCCAUGGUGGUCGUAGGAUUCAUACAAGAAGUUUCAUGGGAAUAUUGUAUUCACAAGCGGUCGCCGACAUCCAGCAUGCAUUUCCCGAGUGACGGGACGCCCUAUUUGCCGUGGAGUCUCCAUAGACGCAGGGACAGAACGACCUCGAAGCUGCCGGUUGCCGAUCAGACGCCUCUUGGAAUUUGCACCACUUCCCAACUGGCGCAAGCGCACGGGCGGGCGGCUGAAGACCUGGGCAACGACGAUAAAGGAGGACCUCUCUAAACUCUUGGGUCCACAGGUGGUCGGUCUGCACAGAUGGAACCACGAAUGGGUCGCUGUCUCCAGUGGCCUCGCACAGGACUGUCGAGCGUUGGCCGCCAUGGUUCAUGAUGCCGUCAGGACCAGAGGAAAAAGCCGGCUCAACCCGCCCUGGGUGAAUGCCGUCACAAGUACAAGUUUUCUGGAUAGUGAUUAAGCGAGAUAUUGCUAUUUCUCUCAGUUCAUACAAAUUAUCCUAGGGUAAUUCCACCACAGAUUUACAUCGACCAGGAGGAAUUACAACGGUGUUUCGUAUUCUGCUACCACAACAGCUCCUUUAUAGGAUCCAGUUAGCUCAAGACAUCAUCAGGAGGAACCACAUCCGGUUUCGGCCCCUACUCCUCUACUGUUUUGACGUGGUGGGGCCCCCCCUUUCGGAGGUGUCUUCAGUUCUGGUGUUGGGUGCAUGUCUUCUUUCUUCUGUUCCCUGGCCUCUUCGAUGUAUCAUCAGCGAGUGUCAGCCGGUGACUGAUUUCUUUAUUACCCAUAGAGGGCGACACAGAACGGACAGUACAAACAUUGGGGACACAAAACAUAAUAAUGAAUACAUGAAUUUAUGAAAAUGAUAUUAUGAAAGCGACGCUAACGGCCCCAUCCGCUAGCAUCACUUACCUGUCCUUUAGUUAUUAGUCCCAAACAAAUGCUCCUUUUCUUUUACUUGUUUCAGUCAUUUGACUGCGGCCAUGCUGGAGCACCGCCUUUAGUUGAGCAAGUCGACCCCGGGACUUAUUCUUUGUAAGCCCAGUACUUAUUCUACCGGUCUCUUUUG
rnacentral:lncRNA from 1 species